GACGAACGCUGGCGGCGUGCUUAACACAUGCAAGUCGAACGGAAAGGCCCUGCUUGCAGGGUACUCGAGUGGCGAACGGGUGAGUAACACGUGGGUGAUCUGCCCUGCACUUCGGGAUAAGCCUGGGAAACUGGGUCUAAUACCGGAUAGGAGCCAUUUUUAGUGUGAUGGUUGGAAAGUUUUUUCGGUGUAGGAUGAGCUCGCGGCCUAUCAGCUUGUUGGUGGGGUAAUGGCCUACCAAGGCGGCGACGGGUAGCCGGCCUGGGAGGGUGGACGGCCACAGUGGGACUGAGAUACGGCCCAGACCCCUACGGGUGGCAGAAGUGGGGAAUAGUGAACAAGGGGCGCAAGCCUGAUGCAGCGACGCCGCGUGGGGGAUGACGGUCUUCGGGUUGGAAACUCCUUUCGCUAGGGACGAAGCUUUUUGUGACGGUACCUAGAGAAGAAGCACCGGCUAACUACGUG
rnacentral:rRNA from 1 species